rnacentral:tRNA from 1 species
GAGGUUGUGGCUCAGUGGUAGAGCACUCACCUAGCAUGUAUGAGGCACUGGGUUCCACCCUCAGCACCACA